rnacentral:rRNA from 1 species
AAAAGAAACUAACAAGGAUUCCCCUAGUAGCGGCGAGCGAAGCGGGAUGAGCUCAAAUUUGAAAUCUGGCGUCUUUCAGGCGUCCGAGUUGUAAUCUAUAGAAGCGUUUUCUGUGCUGGACCAUGUCCAAGUCCCUUGGAACAGGGUAUCAAAGAGGGUGACAAUCCCGUACUUGACAUGACCACCAGUGCUCUGUGAUACGUUUUCGACGAGUCGAGUUGUUUGGGAAUGCAGCUCAAAAUGGGUGGUAAAUUCCAUCUAAAGCUAAAUAUUGGCGAGAGACCGAUAGCGAACAAGUACCGUGAGGGAAAGAUGAAAAGCACUUUGGAAAGAGAGUUAAACAGUACGUGAAAUUGUUGAAAGGGAAACGAUUGAAGUCAGUCGUGUCUAUUGGUUUCAGCCGGUUCUGCCGGUGUAUUACCUUUAGACGGGUCAACAUCAGUUUUGGACGGCACAUAAGAGCGGUUAGAAUGUAGCACCUCCGGGUGUGUUAUAGCUUUUCGUUACAUAUGCUGUCCGAGACUGAGGACUGCAGCUCGCCUUUUAGGCCGGGGUUCGCCCACGU